UACGUAGGGUGCAAGCGUUGUCCGGAAUUAUUGGGCGUAAAGAGCUCGUAGGCGGUGUGUCGCGUCGGAUGUGAAAGCCCGGGGCUUAACUUCGGGUCUGCAUUCGGUACGGGCAUGCUGGAGUUCGGUAGGGGAGACUGGAAUUCCUGGUGUAGCGGUGAAAUGCGCAGAUAUCAGGAGGAACACCGGUGGCGAAGGCGGGUCUCUGGGCCGAUACUGACGCUGAGGAGCGAAAGCGUGGGGAGCGAACAGG
rnacentral:rRNA from 1 species